UACGUAGGCAGCAAGCGUUGUUCGGAGUUACUGGGCGUAAAGGGUGUGUAGGCGGCCUGUUAAGUUCCGUGUGAAAUCUCCCGGCUCAACCGGGAGGGUGCGCGGAAAACUGGCGGGCUAGAGUGCGGGAUGGGAGAGUAGAAUUCCUGGUGUAGCGGUGAAAUGCGCAGAUAUCAGGAAGAACACCCGUGGCGAAGGCGGCUCUCUGGGACGAUACUGACGCUGAGACGCGAAAGCGUGGGGAGCGAACAGG
rnacentral:rRNA from 1 species